rnacentral:tRNA from 1 species
GGCGGGUAUAAGCCCCGUUCUUAUCAU